AUACUUACCUGGCAGGGGAGAUACAUUGAUCGCCAAGGUGGUUUUCUCAGGGCGAGGCUUAUCCAUUACUCUCCACAUGUGCUGACCCCCGAGAUUUCCCCAAAUGUGGGAAACGCCAGCAUAACGUGGGGGGGGCCUGCGCUCAUUUGCUCCUCUA